GCCGGGACGUUGCGGGGCGAAGAGCUUUAUCACGGGCUGGCGGCGGCGGGAGCCUAGCUCCCUCCCUGCUCCGCCUCCCGGUGCCGAUUAACGCUCCGAGGCGCCUUCGUCACCGCUUUGAAGGGACAGCCGAGCGGCGCCGCCGGGCUGACCCGGUUGUCUGUCAGGUGCCGCGUUGCGCAAGGCGGGCAGCCGGCACCGGCGCUGCGGACGCGGCCCGUAACUGCGGCCGAACUAUGUGGUUGUUUGCACAUUAUACAACAGUGCACAACAUAAUACCACAGUACUGCUUCCCCAGCUAUGGACACAUGGACACAGUCUGACUGACGCCUCUUCAGUGUGUUCCCUUCGUAGGAUAUCCCGGGUUGGAAAGGACCCGCCAAGGAUCGCGGAGUCCAACCCGCGGCUCCUCACAGCACCACCCGAAAUUGGUUUAAAUACCUCAAUAAGAGCGCCUUGAUCAUAACGAGGACAAAACGUUUAAAGAACUUACCAAUAACAACGGGGAAACUGUGAAAGAAAGGCAUUAAUUCUUUUUCUUACAGCGUUCUCACAGCAUUUAAGGCGGGGAGGAAAGUGUUGGAACGCAGAAGUAAAUUUGGUUGUGUCCUUGUCAUCAUGGUUACUGUUCUGACCGCUUCCACUGACCCCUGCAAGGAGCUAUGGGCUAACCAGGCUCUUGGGAAUACUUUCAUCCUGGCACCAAAUAGAAACUGAACUUCUUCCACUGUUACUUCUCACACCGUGACCAGUCAAAAAAGGGACUUGGAGGAGGGAGACAGAAGGAAAAAAGCAACCAAACGAGUCACCACUCCUUUACUUCACAAGAUCCUAAAAUUAAAUGAUGACAAAGAAAUUAACCCAGGGCCUUACCUGGACGGUGCUGUAAACAUGUGCUGGCUUAAUGCUCAGCUGUAAUUAAAGAAACAAGCAAGAUGCCAGGAUGCAUAAAGAAUGGGAUGAGGAGGAGUACAGAAAUAUAGAAGCUGUGUGUGUCAUCUGAGUGGCGUAUUCUCCUGCGUGCUUCUCGCUGAUGUCACACCACACCUCCAUUCCUGAGCAAGGCUCCAAAGCUCAGGGAAGAGAGUGAAAAAAGAGCUGGAUAUUUGUACUGGAUCACUAACAUUGAGAAAAAGUAAUUUUUCUACCCGUGUCGUUUUGGAUGAAGCACACCUCCUAAGUACAUCUGGAAAGCUUUGUCAUAGCCUCAUGAAUCCCUGGAUUAGCAAAGGAAAACUAUUCACAGUGUGCCAUAAUGAAAAGCACGCUUUCACAAAACGGAGCAAGUGAUUCAUUCUUCAAGUGAAGUUCUGCAGAGCGCCGUCUCCUUAAAAAUGACAGUGACAAACUAAUGAUAAUUAUUUGGGUUGCUCCUCCUCUUGCAGUGCUAUUUAGUUAGAAGCAACAGCUUCAAAGUACCUUAUGAGUCCCUGAAUAUAUUUAGGUCCAGUAACACCUACAUUUGUCUUUGCGCGUUCUACAGCUGGACUCUAGACAUAGGGCCCAGCGUGGCUGCUUUUGCUUCUCAGGGCGUUGGUAACUAACCAGAUGCACUUCAUUUUCCUUUAUGUAACAGCUGUUGCAAAGUCAAAAAGUCAAUAGCAUUGGAGCGUCCAACAGUUCAAGGAUGUAUCUCACAGUCAGGUGACACACUCUUGCACAUAGGGUUAUUUUUGUGAAUACGUGAGGUAAAAAUUGACAUAUUGUGCUGCACUACACGCACAACCCCAUCAACCUAAUGGGAAGACGGUCAAGCAGCAGAUAAUAAAAAUACUUUCAUGAUCUAAAUGAACGGAUGAACUAAUAAAAAAAUAAAAUUUACUUACCUCAGAAAAUUGAAAGCUUUUUUUGUUGUUGUUUUUUAAGAGAAUGGC
ensembl:lncRNA